AGGGAAUCUUGCGCAAUGGGCGAAAGCCUGACGCAGCAACGCCGCGUGUGGGAAGAAGGCUCUCGGGUUGUAAACCACUUUCAGUAGGAACGAAAUUGACGGUACCUGCAGAAGAAGGUGCGGCCAACUACGUGCCAGCAGCCGCGGUGACACGUAGGCACCAAGCGUUGUCCGGAUUUAUUGGGCGUAAAGAGCUCGUAGGCGGUUCAGUAAGUCGGGUGUGAAAACUCAGGGCUCAACCCUGAGCUGCCACCCGAUACUGCUGUGACUUGAGUCUGGUAGGGGAGUGGGGAAUUCCUGGUGUAGCGGUGAAAUGCGCAGAUAUCAGGAGGAACACCGGUGGCGAAGGCGCCACUCUGGGCCACGACUGACGCUGAGGAGCGAAAGCAUGGGUAGCAAA
rnacentral:rRNA from 1 species